rnacentral:lncRNA from 1 species
UUCCUCCUGUUAUCAGAACAAAUGUUACAAUCAAAACCAAUGCUGAACAUUAAAUUACUUUUCUGUAAAACACAAUUUUUGCUUAUCCAUGAAAAAUGUGGUAAUUAUUCUUUGGAUUUGGAGACUUUGGAUUUGGAGCUACCGAAGUUUAAUUUUGUAAUUUGUUAGCUGGCAUGUUAAGGGAGUAAUGACCAGUUUGUAAUUACGAUAUCAGCUGGGUUUAGUACAGUCAUGGGAGAACUGUUUGCCAAGGGGUGGGCAGAGGAGUGCAAAGCUGCCCAGUUAGUGGUCUGCAAUUACCAUCUGAGGACUGGGCAGGUGCUGGAUUGCUUGCUUGAUCCUGGCCAUGUUGCUGUGACUGGAGAAGAGCAAGCAUUCAAGUAUUUUGGGAGUGCAGUAAUGGACAUGUGUGAAGAAAUGGAAUUACCAUAUUUGAACAGUAAGACUUACUACUGGGAUUUCCAGACUUUUGAGUCUGUGUUCAGUACUUUUUGUGCUUUUGCAGCUUUAAAGUG